rnacentral:lncRNA from 1 species
CUCUGGGUAGGUUCACCACCUGCUACCUCCUAUAGCAGCUGUCUGGAGCAGUUUUAGUCACUUCUUUUAUUUACAAACUUUCAUUUUGCUCAACUCCUCUUCACAGACCAACAGGACUUUCAGAGACUAAAAAUUGUGCAGCUGCCUCACUGCAGGUCUUGUGGCCCCUGGCCUGGAGGAGUGGAUAGACAUUACACGUCAUCAGACUGGACAGUGAAACACCAUAAAUCUGCACAAGGGCAUUGAAGUUCCCAAUUAUGUGAUAGUGGCAUACAAAAUCCACUUCUACCUCUCUGUAUCUACUAAUAUUUUCAAAACAUUCAGGAACCAGUUCUCCUUGAAGACAUGAAAAUGUUUUUGGAAUGGUAAUAUCUGCAAUGUGUAGCAAAUGGAUAAGGUUGGAUCUUCAUCUUCUGUUUAUUAAGGUGGAACCUAACCUGGUUGACUGUCUCCUGUCUCAUUAAUUCUUAUUAGGGGCAGAAUCCACUUCAUGCCAUGCUUUUUCUUGUGGGACUUAUCCACUGAAGUGAGUAA